rnacentral:tRNA from 1 species
GCCAGAGUGGCGGAAUUGGCAGACGCGCGGGACUCAAAAUCCCGUGGCCUUCGGGUCGUGUGGGUUCGACUCCCACCUCUGGCACAA